rnacentral:rRNA from 1 species
GGAACUGAGACACGGUCCAGACUCCUACGGGAGGCAGCAGUAGGGAAUCUUCCGCAAUGGGCGAAAGCCUGACGGAGCAACGCCGCGUGAGUGAUGAAGGUCUUCGGAUCGUAAAACUCUGUUAUUAGGGAAGAACAUAUGUGUAAGUAACUGUGCACAUCUUGACGGUACCUAAUCAGAAAGCCACGGCUAACUACGUGCCAGCAGCCGCGGUAAUACGUAGGUGGCAAGCGUUAUCCGGAAUUAUUGGGCGUAAAGCGCGCGUAGGCGGUUUUUUAAGUCUGAUGUGAAAGCCCACGGCUCAACCGUGGAGGGUCAUUGGAAACUGGAAAACUUGAGUGCAGAAGAGGAAAGUGGAAUUCCAUGUGUAGCGGUGAAAUGCGCAGAGAUAUGGAGGAACACCAGUGGCGAAGGCGACUUUCUGGUCUGUAACUGACGCUGAUGUGCGAAAGCGUGGGGAUCAAACAGGAUUAGAUACCCUGGUAGUCCACGCCGUAAACGAUGAGUGCUAAGUGUUAGGGGGUUUCCGCCCCUUAGUGCUGCAGCUAACGCAUUAAGCACUCCGCCUGGGGAGUACGACCGCAAGGUUGAAACUCAAAGG